rnacentral:rRNA from 1 species
UACGGAGGAUCCAAGCGUUAUCCGGAUUUAUUGGGUUUAAAGGGUGCGUAGGCGGAUGAAUAAGUCAGUGGUGAAAGCCUGCAGCUUAACUGUAGAAUUGCCAUUGAUACUGUUUAUCUUGAGUACAUUUGAUGUGGGCGGAAUGUGUCAUGUAGCGUGAAAUGCUUAGAUAUGACACAGAACACCGAUUGCGAAGGCAGCUCACAAAACUGUAACUGACGCUGAGGCACGAAAGCGUGGGUAUCAAACAGGA